ensembl:lncRNA
AUGUGGAGACUUGUGUUCCUACUCCAGACGGCCCGGGUGCCAACAUUGAUCUCAAACCCAUGGGGCAGCAAUGUCAAUAUUUGGGAAAAGUUAGCUAGRGAAAUACUAAAUASCACUCACUUUUGUCUAGAAGGAGGAACUUYGGCGGCCCAAAUUUACACCACUUGCACUAUUGGGUUCCCUAUACCCCUAGAGACRGUGCAAAACAAGGCAAUACUAGCAAAUUUCAAAGUAACUAAUACGUUUAAUCAGUUGUCUCGAUGGGGUUCCACCACAACACAGUAUAACAAAGCAAUGAUAGAAAUUAAGGUGAAAGGAAUGUUUCCUGCGGUUGAGUGUGCUAUGAUGGUAAAUUGUGCCAGCAAAACCCAGCCAUGCCACAAUUUUACGGAAGAUGGGCCUCCUCUUAAAUGUAAUCAAACAACCAAUGUAACCUUUAACUAUGCACAUAUUGUGCUCCCUACAGGAAUGUUUUGGCUAUGCGGGGUAAAAGCUUACUCCUACAUUCCAGCCAAUGCUACUGGUGGCCCCUGUACCRUAGGUCGCUUGAGCAUCUAUAUGCCAAGCAAACAAGAGAUAGAGGAAGUAGCUGGGAAUCAAACACGAAAGAGGAGGGAGGCCUCAUSCCUCAACCCUGAAUGUAAUUCAGAAGUAAUCUUAUUCUCAACAUCACAAAUCUCAGCUGCAGCAUUCCUUACACCUGGGGUGGGAGUUGCUAUGAACUAUCAAGCUAUAAAAAAGAUUGCAUGUUCUUUAGCUAAAACUAUCAACACCACUUCUGCUGCCUUAUCAGCAAUGCUUAGAGAUGUGCAAGCCUUGCGUGCUGGUGUAUUAGAAAACAGAGCAGCAGUUGACUAUCUUCUUUCACGACACAACCAUGGAUGUGAAGAAUUCAAAGGCAUGUGCUGCUUCAACCUGAGUGACCAUUCGACCCUGAUUGAAGGGGAGAUCACAAACCUUAAACAUCUAGCUUUGGACAUUAAACAGCAUAAUGAUAACGGGUUUAAUUGGCUGCAAAAAUUGUUCCAAAAUUUCGGACUGUCUGUAUCAGCUUGGCUCGYGUCGGGCUUACAAACUGUCAUAAUAACUGUACUCAUGAUAAUCAUUAUAUGUAUUGCUUUUGUCUGCUUGAAAGCUUUAAUAUUACGCACAAUCUUUGCUAAGGUAAAUGCUUUAAACACAGGCUACUUGCCUUUGCAACAACAAGAUCAAACCCAUGAUUGUCCUUGA